UACGGAGGGUGCGAGCGUUACUCGGAAUCACUGGGCGUAAAGGGCGCUUAGGCGGUCUAGCAAGUCUGGUGUGAAAGCCCAGGGCUCAACCCUGGAAGGGCACUGGAAACUGCUAGGCUUGAGUUCCGGAGAGGAGGGGGGAAUUCCCGGUGUAGCGGUGAAAUGCGUAGAUAUCGGGAGGAAUACCGGUGGCGAAGGCGCCCCUCGGGACGGAGAAUGACGAUGAGGCGCGAAAGCGUGGGGAGCAAACAGG
rnacentral:rRNA from 1 species